GGGGAAUUAGCUCAAAUGGUAGAGCGCUCGCGCAAGCGAGUGGUAGCGGGAUCGAUGCCCACAUUCUCCA